rnacentral:tRNA from 1 species
CUGGGGAUGUAGCUCAGUGGUAGAGCACUUGCCUAGCACAUAUGAGGCCCUGGGUUCAAUCCCAAUCCUUAGC